ACGGAGGGUGCAAGCGUUAAUCGGAAUCACUGGGCGUAAAGCGCGCGUAGGCCGUCUUUUCCUUCUGACGGUAAAGCCCUCGGCUCAACCGGGGAACUGCGUUCGAUACUGGGAGACUUGAGUCCUGGAGAGGGUGGCGGAAUUCCGGGUGUAGGAGUGAAAUCCGUAGAUAUCCGGAGGAACACCGAUGGCGAAGGCGGCCACCUGGACAGGUACUGACGCUGAGGCGCGAAAGCGUGGGGAGCAAACAG
rnacentral:rRNA from 1 species